rnacentral:rRNA from 1 species
GAAAAGUUAUAUAAAAUAUUCUUUUUUUAUUCUAUUAUUUAUACAAUGUUUUCAUAUAUUACUCACCAAAAAAAAACAAUACUAACAAAUGAAAGUCACAUUUUUAUUAUUAUUGUUUUU